rnacentral:RNase_P_RNA from 1 species
CGAGCCGGCCGGACGGCCGCGUCGGGGCAUGGCCCCGCCGAGGAAAGUCCGGGCUCCACAGGGCAGGGUGGUCGGUAACACCGACCCGGGGCGACCCGCGGGACAGUGCCACAGAAAACAGACCGCCACCGCCAGGUGGUAAGGGUGAAACGGUGAGGUAAGAGCUCACCGGCGCCCACGGUGACGUGGGCGGCCAGGUAAACCCCACCCGGAGCAAGGUCAAGAAGGGAAGCGACGCUUCCCGCGCAGGCGUUCGAGGGCGGCCCGCCCGAUGCCUGCGGGUAGACCGCUGGAGGCCGUCGGCAACGGCGGCCCGAGAUGGAUGGCCGUCGCCGCCCCGCGAGGGACGGCACAAAACCCGGCUUACAGGCCGACUCGUCCG